rnacentral:rRNA from 1 species
GACGAACGCUGGCGGCGUGCUUAACACAUGCAAGUCGAACGGUGAAGCGCCUUCCUUUUUGGUGGGUGUGGAUGAGUGGCGAACGGGUGAGUAACACGUGAGUAACCUUCCCCCUUCUUCUGGAUAACCGCAUGAAAGUGUGGCUAAUACGGGAUAUUCUGGCUCUGUCGCAUGAUGGGUCUGGGAAAGAUAUUGUUUCGGUGGGGGAUGGGCUCGCGGCCUAUCAGCUUGUUGGUGGGGUGAUGGCCUACCAAGGCGGUGACGGGUAGCCGGCCUGGGAGGGUGGACGGUCACACUGGGACUGAGACACGGCCCAGACUCCUACGGGAGGCAGCAGUGGGGAAUAUUGCACAAUGGGCGCAAGCCUGAUGCAGCGACGCCGCGUGAGGGAUGGAGGCCUUCGGGUUGUGAACCUCUUUCGCCAGUGAAGCAGGCCUGCCUCGUUUGUGGGUGGGUUGACGGUAGCUGGAUAAGAAGCGCCGGCUAACUACGUG